rnacentral:rRNA from 1 species
CAAGGUACUAAGGGCACGCGGUGGAUGCCUUGGCGGCGGGAGGCGAUGAAGGGCGUGGCAAGCUGCGAUAAGCCCGGGGGAGCCGCAAGCAGGCGUUGAUCCCGGGAUUCCCGAAUGGGGAAACCUGGGUGGCCGUUGAGGCCACUCGCCGCCGAAAGGCGGUGCGAUACCGGGGGAAGUGAAACAUCUCAGUACCCCGAGGAAAAGAAAUCAACCGAGAUUCCCCUAGUAGCGGCGAGCGAACGGGGAGGAGCCCAAACCAGCGUGGUGUCAAAGCCCGUGGGCGUUGCCACGCUGGGGUUGCGGGACACGGCCGGGCGAGGCCACGGACUCGCCGGGGAGUUACAAAUCCCUCCUCUAGCCGAACCACCUGGGAAGGUGGGCCGGAGAGGGUGACAGCCCCGUAGGCGAAAGGGGAGGGACUCCCUGGGCCGUGCUCCCGAGUACCGCGGGACACGUGGAAUCCCGUGGGAAGCUGGGGGGACCACCCUCCAAGGCUAAAUACUACCCGCCGUCCGAUAGUGCACCAGUACCGUGAGGGAAAGGUGAAAAGCACCCCGGAAGGGGAGUGAAAGAGGACCUGAAACCGCGUGCCUACAAGAAGUCGGAGCCCCCAUUUGGGGGUGACGGCGUGCCUUUUGAUUAAUGAGCCCGCGAGUUGCCGUCGGUGGCGAGGUUAAGCCGAUGAAGGCGUAGCCGCAGCGAAAGCGAGUCCGAACAGGGCGUUCAGUCACCGGCGGCAGACCCGAAGCCGGGUGAGCUACCCCUGGGCAGGGUGAAGGUGGGUUAAAACCCACUGGAGGCCCGAACCGGUGGACAGUGAAAAGUCCUCGGAUGACCUGGGGGUAGGAGUGAAAAGCUAACCGAACCCGGUGAUAGCUGGUUCUCCCCGAAAUGCAUUGAGGUGCAGCCUCGGGCGGUCUGUGCAGGGGGUAGAGCACUGAUGGGGCUAGGGGGGUUUCCUCCGAACCCCGUCAAACUCCGAAUUCCUGCACACAAAGCCCGGGAGUGAGCCCGCGGGGGAUAAGCUCCGCGGACGAGAGGGGAACAACCCAGACCGCCGGCUAAGGGCCCGAAGAGGUGGCUAAGUGGUAAAGGAUGUGGAGUGCCUAAGACAGCUGGGAUGUUGGCUUAGAAGCAGCCAUCAUUUAAAGAGUGCGUAACAGCUCACCAGCCGAGGCGCUCUGCACCGAAAAUGUAACGGGGCUCAAGCCACCCCCCGAAGCCGCGGGUCAGUGCCUCCGCUGGAGGUACUGGCGGUAGGGGAGCUUUCCGCUGUAGGGUGAAGGCGGACCCGCGAGGGCCGCUGGACGAGGCGGAAGUGAGAAUGCGGGCAUGAGUAUACGAAAGGAGGGUGAGAAUCCCUCCCCCCGUAAGCCCAAGGGUACCUGGGGAAGGGUCGUCCGCCCAGGGUUAGCCGGGACCCUAAGGUGAACCCGAAAGGGGUAGCCGAAGGGAAGCCGGUUAAUAUUCCGGCGCCAUCUGCGGUCGAUGGUACGAGGGGUGACGCAGGAGGGUAGGCGCCGGGGGCAAGUGGCAUGCCCCUCCAAGCGGUUAGGGCGAUGACGGGCGUAGGUAAAUCCGCGCCCCGAGCCUGAGCCGUGAUGGGGAGGUCCCUUCGGGGACCAACGGUGCUGACCCCACACUGCCGAGAAAAACCUCGCGUACCGCUUGAGACCGUAGGUGCCCGUUCCGCAAACCGACACAGGUGGGCGGGCUGAGAAGGCUCAGGGGAGCGGGUGAACCCUCGCCAAGGAACUCGGCAAAUUGGCCCCGUAACUUCGGGAGAAGGGGUGCCGCGUUAGGGUGAACCCAGGGGAAGGGGCAACCCGGAAACUGGGGGAGCCCGAGGCGGUCGCAGUGACAAGGCCCUGGCGACUGUUUACCAAAAACACAGGUCUCUGCUAACUCGAAAAGAGGAAGUAUAGGGACUGACGCCUGCCCAGUGCCGGAAGGUUAAGGGGAGGGGUGAGGCUCCCCUUGUGGGAGCGUAGCUCCGACCCGAAGCCCCGGUAAACGGCGGCCGUAACUAUAACGGUCCUAAGGUAGCAUUCGCUGCCUGGAUAAGGGUGAGCGAAAUUCCUUGUCGGGUAAGUUCCGACCUGCAUGAAUGGCGUAACGACUGGGGCACUGUCUCGGCGGGGGGCCCGGCGAAAUUUCAGUCUGGGUGAAGAUGCCCAGUACCCGCGGCUAGACGGAAAGACCCCGUGGAGCUUUACUGCAGCCUGGUAUUGGGCUCCGGUGCAUCGUGUAUAGAAUAGGUGGGAGGCUGUGAAGCCGCCUCGCCAGGGGCGGUGGAGCCACCAGUGGAAUACCACCCUCGGUGCACUGGAGUUCUAACCUGACCCUGUGAAGAGCAGGGUGGGGACAGUGCCAGGUGGGCAGUUUGACUGGGGCGGUCACCUCCUAAAAGGUAACGGAGGUGUGCAAAGGUCGGCUCAGGUGGGUUGGAAAUCCACCGUAGAGUGCAAGGGCAUAAGCCGGCCUGACUGCGAGGCCGACAGGCCGAGCAGGGGGGAAACCCGGCCCUAGUGACCCGGCGGUCCCGUGUGGAAGGGCCGUCGAUCAACGGAUAAAAGUUACCCCGGGGAUAACAGGCUGGUCCCGCCCGAGAGUUCACAUCGACGGCGGGGUUCGGCACCUCGAUGUCGGCUCAUCCCAUCCUGGGGCUGAAGCAGGUCCCAAGGGUUGGGCUGUUCGCCCAUUAAAGGGGUACGUGAGCUGGGUUCAGACCGUCGUGAGACAGGUCGGUCCCUAUCUGCCGCGGGCGUAGGAGGCUUGAGGGGGGUCCUCCCUUGUACGAGAGGACCGGGAGGAGGGAGCCUCUGGUGUACCGGCUGUCGCGCCAGCGGCAUACGCCGGGUAGCUAUGCUCCUGAGCGAUAACCGCUGAAAGCAUCUAAGCGGGAAGCGCGCCCCAAGAUUAGGCCUCCCAUCCCUUUAAGGGAGUAAGGCCGGUCCGAGAAGAGGACCUUGAUAGGCCAGGGGUGUAAGCGCCGCAAGGCGUUGAGCCCACUGGUACUAAUCGGCCGAGGCCUUGA